GGAAAACAUCAUGUAAAUUUUUGAGACUGGGUUCUUUCACUCAGAAUAAUGCCUUUCGAUUCAUCCAAGAUGUUACCAUCAGUAAUUUGUUCUUUUUUAUUGCUGCCUACUAGUCAUUGUAUGAAUGCAUCACAAUUUGUUUAUCCAUUCAAUGUCAUGUUCCUCACAACUAAAACACUCAGGGUCACUCCAGGGGAACUGGGCUGCACGAAAUAACCACACAAGAGACAGAGAUACCUUUUUCUUCGGGAUCCUGUGACGGCUCCUCAGACCUUAAGGGUCCACAGAAAGAGAGAGAGAGAGAGAGAGAGAGAGCGAGAGCGAGAGCAGGAGCUGAACCCUUUUAUUAAGGAGAAGCCAUUCAAAUGAGGCAAGAGGUCAGGUUUCAGGAGGUUGAGUCUAGCUUCAUGAUGUCUGCUGUCAGCAGAUUGACUGACAUCUAGGAAGGCCACACCCAAAGGCUGAGCAAGAGAAGGGGACACACAAAGAAUCAUUUCCAUGGAACAUUCUAUCCCAAACAGGGCAAAGGGUUAACAUUACAAAGGAAUAGGUGAAUGUAGCUCAACCCAUGGGGCUACACGCCUGUGUCUGAAGACACGCCCUCAAACUUCCUGGACCGGAGCAAUGUCCACAUCACUACAAGAUGUAGUGACCAGUCAAAGUCUUUCCGCUCCAGGAUGGAAGGUAUGAAUCAUUCAGAGUAGCUCCCCACAAUUCAACAGUUUAGGGACUUUUGAAUUCGUUUCAGUUUGGGGUGAUUAUGAAGACAGCCAUCUAAACAUUCAUGUACAGGCUUUUGUGUGAGCCUAAGUUCUUAUUUCUCUAGGAUAAAUAGCUAGGAGUGAGAUUUGCUGGGUUCUGUGAUGGGUGUAUGUUUGAUUUUAUUAAGAAACUGCCAAACUGUUUUUCCUGAUCAUUACCCAGGAUGCAGCUGAGAGGAGAUGAUCUCUUUUUGGGGACGGCUGCAUUUAGUAACCAACUGCUUGAGCAAGAUACAGACCAAAGAUAAAGGAAGCCACCAAUAGCCUAUUUGAGUUGAUUUUUGAACAACUCAUCAGGGUUGAGAACAUCACUGCAGAAGAGUGUGGAGUAGGGAAGCAGCUCAGGACAGGACACCUGGGAAGCAGAGAGAGAGCUCCCCUCACCAGGACAGAAUAAGAAACCCCAAUGGCAGUCCCUAGAGACCUUCCUCCUCCAACCACACCCUACUGCCUACAUUACCACCCAGUUAAUCCCUACCAGGGGUUCAAUGCACUAAUUAGGUUAAGGCUCUCAUAACUUGCACUGUCUCACACAGGAACUUUUGAGGGACACUAAUAAACCAUCACAUCUGUGAAGCUGCAAACCUUUUUUCUUAUAGGACGUUUUCCCCAGCUGUCAGCCUUCAGGCCUUUUGUAGUUUCAUGGAUUGGAAAUCU
rnacentral:lncRNA from 1 species